rnacentral:rRNA from 1 species
UACAGAGGUCUCAAGCGUUGUUCGGAAUCACUGGGCGUAAAGGGUGCGUAGGCCGCACGGUAAGUCAGAGGUGAAAUCCCGGAGCUCAACUUCGGAAUUGCCUCCGAUACUGCCGUGCUUGAGGACUGGAGAGGAGUCUGGAAUUCACAGUGGAGCAGUGAAAUGCGUAGAGAUCAUGAGGAAGACCAGUGGCGAAGGCGGGUCUCUGGACAGUUCCUGACACUGAGACACGAAGGCCAGGGGAGCAAACGGG